GCAUCGUAAUUUCUAAGGGCAACCAUUUUGGAAAUGGCGCUGACUUCCCUUUUCGCUUUUUGUCCCAGGCUUCCGUCACCGCCGCGCGUGAGUCUAAAAAUAGACUAACGGCUUGUUCCAACCGGCAUUUCGUUGACGCUCUCUGCCUUUCGGGUUUACUUGACAUAUUGGAAAAUUUUUUGGCGGACGAUAUUUAUUAAUUUAGUUUUUCUUUCUUCGGAAUAUUGCUGUCAAAAAUAGAGUCUGUGGUCUUGCAGCUCUUUGAUAGAAAUCUGAGUGAGAAAUCAUUCAGCCAUCGGAAUCACGAAGUUCGAAUGAGGAGAUGGAGAUGGCUGGGCCAUGUCCUACGCAUGAGCAAAAUAUGACUCCCCCAACAUGGCACUGGAAAAUGAAAGAGGGGAAGACCACUGGGAACAUGGAGGAGAGAGAUGGAAGAAGAAGUGCAAGCUGCUGGCAAGACUUGACAUGAACUAAACUGGCUCGCCCAGGACAGAGUGGAAUGGCAGGAAUUUGUUGCUGCCCUAUACUCCACAGGGAGUGAUGAGGAUUAAAGAAAGCAGACACAGAUCCAGUGUUGGAAGAGGAAGUAUUUUAUAUAAAAGAAAAAAAAACAACAGAUGUCAAAGCAGGUAUUGGCUGGUGCAGAAACAGCAUGAAAGGAUUUUUGUAUCUUUCCUGGACUGAUGACUUUCAUUCAACCUGAUCAUUUUUUAAUUUGCAUCAACUAAAACAUGUUAUAUAAAUCACUUUGUUGUACUC